AGAGUUUGAUCAUGGCUCAGGACGAACGCUGGCGGCGUGCCUAAUACAUGCAAGUCGAGCGGACCGACGGGAGCUUGCUCCCUUAGGUCAGCGGCGGACGGGUGAGUAACACGUGGGUAACCUGCCUGUAAGACUGGGAUAACUCCGGGAAACCGGGGCUAAUACCGGAUGCUUGAUUGAACCGCAUGGUUCAAUCAUAAAAGGUGGCUUUUAGCUACCACUUACAGAUGGACCCGCGGCGCAUUAGCUAGUUGGUGAGGUAACGGCUCACCAAGGCGACGAUGCGUAGCCGACCUGAGAGGGUGAUCGGCCACACUGGGACUGAGACACGGCCCAGACUCCUACGGGAGGCAGCAGUAGGGAAUCUUCCGCAAUGGACGAAAGUCUGACGGAGCAACGCCGCGUGAGUGAUGAAGGUUUUCGGAUCGUAAAACUCUGUUGUUAGGGAAGAACAAGUACCGUUCGAAUAGGGCGGUACCUUGACGGUACCUAACCAGAAAGCCACGGCUAACUACGUGCCAGCAGCCGCGGUAAUACGUAGGUGGCAAGCGUUGUCCGGAAUUAUUGGGCGUAAAGCGCGCGCAGGCGGUUUCUUAAGUCUGAUGUGAAAGCCCCCGGCUCAACCGGGGAGGGUCAUUGGAAACUGGGGAACUUGAGUGCAGAAGAGGAGAGUGGAAUUCCACGUGUAGCGGUGAAAUGCGUAGAGAUGUGGAGGAACACCAGUGGCGAAGGCGACUCUCUGGUCUGCAACUGACGCUGAGGCGCGAAAGCGUGGGGAGCGAACAGGAUUAGAUACCCUGGUAGUCCACGCCGUAAACGAUGAGUGCUAAGUGUUAGAGGGUUUCCGCCCUUUAGUGCUGCAGCAAACGCAUUAAGCACUCCGCCUGGGGAGUACGGUCGCAAGACUGAAACUCAAAGGAAUUGACGGGGGCCCGCACAAGCGGUGGAGCAUGUGGUUUAAUUCGAAGCAACGCGAAGAACCUUACCAGGUCUUGACAUCCUCUGACAACCCUAGAGAUAGGGCUUCCCCUUCGGGGGCAGAGUGACAGGUGGUGCAUGGUUGUCGUCAGCUCGUGUCUGGAAAUGUUGGGUUAAGUCCCGCACCAAGCGCAACCCUUGAUCUUAUUUGCCAGCAUUCAGUUGGGCAU
rnacentral:rRNA from 1 species